rnacentral:rRNA from 1 species
AUUGAACGCUGGCGGCAGGCCUAACACAUGCAAGUCGAGCGGGGUUUUCGGACCUAGCGGCGGACGGGUGAGUAAUGCGUAGGAAGCUGCCCGAUAGAGGGGGAUACCAGUUGGAAACGACUGUUAAUACCGCAUAAUGUCUACGGCCCAAAGUGUGGGACCUUCGGGCCACAUGCUAUCGGAUGCGCCUACGUGGGAUUAGCUAGUUGGUGAGGUAAUGGCUCACCAAGGCGACGAUCUCUAGCUGGUUUGAGAGGAUGAUCAGCCACACUGGAACUGAGACACGGUCCAGACUCCUACGGGAGGCAGCAGUGGGGAAUAUUGGACAAUGGGCGCAAGCCUGAUCCAGCCAUGCCGCGUGUGUGAAGAAGGCCUUCGGGUUGUAAAGCACUUUCAGCGAGGAGGAAGGGUGGUGUGUUAAUAGCACGUCAUUUUGACGUUACUCGCAGAAGAAGCACCGGCUAACUCUGUGCCAGCAGCCGCGGUAAUAC